GCUAAAACAUAAUGUAACGUAAUCCCAAGUUACUGGUAGGCUGAGUCUGGUGGAUGGUUUGAGCUCAGGAGCUCUGAGCUGCAGCGGACUAUGCUGAUCAGGUGUCCGCACUAAGUUUGGUAUCGAUAUGGUGCCCCUGGUGGCGCCCAGGACCACCAGGCUGCCUAAGGAGGGGUGCACUGGCUCAGGCCGGAAACGAAGCAGGUGAAAGCCCAUGUGCCGCUCAGCAGUGGGAUCGCACCUGUGAAUAGACACUGUAGUUCAGCCUGAGUAAAUACAGUAAAAUGGGUGUUAA
ensembl:misc_RNA Metazoa_SRP Metazoan signal recognition particle RNA